rnacentral:rRNA from 1 species
CCCCGGGGACAGCGGCGAACGGGUGAGUAACACGUGGGUAAUCCACCCUCGGCACCGGGAUAGCCCGGGGAAACCCGGAUUAAUACCGGAUAGCCCUUCCGGCCUCCGGGCCGGUCGGAAAAGGUAGCUUAGGCCUCUGGCCGAGGACGAGCCCGCGGCGGAUUAGCUUGUUGGUGGGGUAAUGGCCUACCAAGGCUCCGAUCCGUAGCUGGUCUGAGAGGACGAUCAGCCACACUGGGACUGAGACACGGCCCAGACUCCUACGGGAGGCAGCAGUGGGGAAUCUUGCCCAAUGGGCGAAAGCCUGAGGCAGCGACGCCGCGUGAGGGAAGAAGGCCUUCGGGUUGUAAACCUCUUUCAGGAGGGACGAAGCCACUCGGGUUAAUAGCCCAGAGGGUGACGGUACCUCCAGAAGAAGCCCCGGCUAACUACGUGCCAGCAGCCGCGGUAAUACGUAGGGGGCAAGCGUUGUCCGGAUUUACUGGGCGUAAAGAGCGUGUAGGCGGCCGCGCAGGUCUGUUGUGAAAACUGGAGGCUUAACCUCCAGACGUCGACAGAAACCGUGUGGCUAGAGUCCGGAAGAGGAGAGUGGAAUUCCUGGUGUAGCGGUGAAAUGCGCAGAUAUCAGGAAGAACACCAAUGGCGAAGGCAGCUCUCUGGGACGGUACUGACGCUGAGACGCGAAAGCGUGGGGAGCGAACAGGAUUAGAUACCCUGGUA